GUGAGCUUAUCUUAUGUUAAGACCUCAGGAUCCGUAGAUUCAUUUCAAUAAAAGGGCUUAUUACACCUACCUGUUUGACAGGCUAGCUGCGUUAAGGUCAUAGUGGUUACCAUGGUUACUCCCCACUAACUCCCGUUUCCUUAUCAGAUAGUGUAGUCUAAUAGCAAAUCGGCGGGGCGUAACCAUGGUAACCGCGAUCUAGAACGAGUUGGUGGGGAGUAACCAUGGUAACUACCCGUGACCUUGACGCAUCUAGCCUGUCGGACAGGUAGGUGUAAUAAGCCUAAAGAGAGAGAGAGAUGUGUUCUGUGUGCUCAAUAAAGUAUUAUUAUUAUUGAGUUAAAAACAAUACUUGUGCCAUCUAUGGUUUCGACUAAGAAGGUCGUGAAAUAAAUGAUAAAUAAUUUAUAAACUUGGAUGUCUAUAAAAAAAUUUAGAAUUUGGUUACCCUCACGAGGUUUUCACAUUAAACCAACGACGUAGGAAGUAUUCCCAUCGUGUUUCGAGAUUCCGUUUUUAAAUCAUAUUUAGAAGAACCACUGUGUGCAGUGGAACAAAUUUAUUAUGUUCUCAUCGUAGUGGAACAUACUAUAGGAAUACUUCAAAUACAAUAACGAAGUUCACUACAAAUGCAAUAUGUUAAUGUAAUAGUUUUCUUAGCGCUUCUACGAAACUUGGUGUUAUUAAUUAUAAUGUGUAAUUUUAGCGAUUGAGAGCUUAUGAUUGGGUUAAGUUGUACAUUCCUAACGUAGGCGUAAUCGUAAAUACUGGAUACUUAAAUUUAUAUUUUAGUAAUAUUUUUUUACUUUGCAGACACCCAGUCAGAAGUGAAUAAAUCUUUAUUGUGGACCGAUUUAUAUAAGAAUUUUUACUUCGUAAUUUUAGUACAAAAUGUAAGUCUCGACUUAGGUUAGGCUAACAUCGGUUCCAAUUCUGGCAUACACAAACUUAAUUUUAAUUUAGUCAGUUCCGAAACUAGCUCUCUCUUUCUUGCACUUAUUGUAAGUAAAGAACAGCACUAUUUUUUAAAACGGCUAAACCAAAUUAAAGUUAAGUUCGCCAGAAUCAGCACCAUAAUUACAGAUUUAUUUGUUUGAGAAAUCAAGAGGAUUUAAACAGGGGGGUAAAAAAGGCCAUAUCGGAGCAAUUCGUCUAUAAAAAGCAAUAUUGCUAUUUGACAUUUGGUUGCAUUACUCACUUACUUUUAUAUGCGCAAAUGUCAAAUUGCAAUAUUGCUUUUUUAGAUGAAUUGCUUCGAUGUGGCCUUUUUAACCCCUCAGGUCACUUUGAAACAAUUCAUCUAAAAAAGCAAUUGAUAUUGCGCACUUACUUUUAUAUUUGCGCAAAUGUCAAAUUGCUUUUUUAGAUGAAUUGCUAAUGUGGGCUUUUUAGACCCCAGUAUACUAUCAUGAUUUUGUAUCAGUAUGCAUCCGAUAAAUAAAUAGCCAUAUAAUAAUAUUCGUCAGUCGUUUAGUACGCAUUAUUUACAUAAAAUAGCUUUAUUGUGGCUCUGGUGACCACAUAGGGAUAGGAACGUGGCUUUAUUUAUGUUUGUAUAUAAAUUAAUCUUUAUUCAACUUCUGCCUGGACGUUAUUUUAUCAGUCGUGCAAUUAUUGUUCCUCAUUUUACUUAUUUCCGUAGCUAAGGCCUAUGAAUGCGUUAGAACGGUUGGUUAGGCCAGUGAUUUCAAUGUAUGUGUUACAAUACUGUGUAUAUUUUGCUUGAAGAUAGAUUAUGUCCAUAUAAAUAACAAAUUGUUCAAAAAUAAAUAUUGCAAGAUGA